rnacentral:tRNA from 1 species
AAGACCCUAGCUCAGCUGGUCAGAACACCACCACUCUCUAUGGCCCGGUCCAAUGGUCGGUGGUUCGAAUCCACUCGGUCGUA